CUGCAAAAGGUGAUCAAUGAAACAGAGGCUCUCUUGCCCCCAUCUCAAAUAUAUAAUCUUAAAAAUAAGCAAGCAGUAGCAACAGCACUGCAACCCCUGGCUACCCACAAAUGGCACUGUGUCUAUUUGAAAGGCUAGUUAAAGGGGUUGAAUUCUGUACAGAGUCUUGAUGUUACCUGUUAACAUUCAUCAGCAAUAAUUGAGUCUAAACAGAGCAUAGGUACUGGGAAAGUGAAUACAAGUCACCUCCACUAGAGAAGACUAGACAUCAGACCUCAGAGCUGAACAGCUGUUGAAUGAUGGCUUCUGGAAGCACAGCAAAUGGCUUGGAUUAAGACCUGGCUACAAAUUUACAAGCUCAAGUUACUGUUGAAGCACAGCAAGUUGGUGUCCCUGCACACUUACAAGAAUCAAAUUUCUUUAAGAGCUUUUUGGCUUAUCCCUGAAGGGUAUCACUUGUUUUCUCUGCACCAGUAUUUGCACUACACUGUGGGCAACACCUCGAAGAAACACAGUAUAGGAGAUAUCUUGCUGCCUGACCUCCUAUGGGAAGAUUUUGCAGAUAGGUCCAGCAUCAUGCCCACUAGCCAAAAGGAACUCUGAUCUUCAGUUUUUGAUUUGAAAACAGGAAACUAAUGCUGUAGCUUGAUCAUGCAAGCAUUUAAGCAAUACCUGAUGUUAAAAAUGCGUAUAGCUCAUUGAGAUCAGCAAGGACUACCUCGAGAUGAAAUGCUGGUCUGGAUUUGACUGAUUCCUGCGAGGCAAAGAUGCUUCAGUUGCCCUGAUGCAAUUACAUCCCCUGCAGCCCCCAUUCGUCAGGCCUUGUCAUCUGUAAGUGUGGGAUACAGUAUUGUAAUGAUAGUAGCAUGCUCCUUGCACUUUAACUCUUGUGUAUGGGAGGAUAUAUUUUUAAAAUUGCUUAAG
rnacentral:lncRNA from 14 species